UAGGGAAUCUUCCGCAAUGGGCGAAAGCCUGACGGAGCAACGCCGCGUGAGUGAUGAAGGUUUUCGGAUCGUAAAACUCUGUUAUUAGGGAAGAACAAAUGUGUAAGUAACUAUGCACGUCUUGACGGUACCUAAUCAGAAAGCCACGGCUAAUUACUUUCCAGCAGCCGCGGUAAUACGUAGGUGUCAAGCGUUAUCCGGAAUUAUUGGGCGUAAAGCGCGCGUAGGCGGUUUUUUAAGUCUGAUGUGAAAGCCCACGGCUCAACCGUGGAGGGUCAUUGGAAACUGGAAAACUUGAGUGCAGAAGAGGAAAGUGGAAUUCCAUGUGUAGCGGUGAAAUGCGCAGAGAUAUGGAGGAACACCAGUGGCGAAAGCGACUUUCUGGUCUGUAACUGACGCUGAUGUGCGAAAGCAUGGGGAUCAAACAGG
rnacentral:rRNA from 1 species